UACGUAGGGGGCAAGCGUUGUCCGGAAUCAUUGGGCGUAAAGCGCGUGUAGGCGGUUCGGUAAGUCUGCUGUGAAAGUCCAGGGCUCAACCCUGGGAUGCCGGUGGAUACUGUCGGACUAGAGUACGGAAGAGGCGAGUGGAAUUCCCGGUGUAGCGGUGAAAUGCGCAGAUAUCGGGAGGAACACCAAUUGCGAAGGCAGCUCGCUGGGACGUCACUGACGCUGAGACGCGAAAGCGUGGGGAGCAAGCAGG
rnacentral:rRNA from 1 species